UACGUAGGGGGCAAGCGUUGUCCGGAUUUAUUGGGCGUAAAGAGCGUGUAGGCGGCCAUGCAGGUCCGUUGUGAAAACUCGAGGCUCAACCUCGAGACGCCGGUGGAAACCGGGUGGCUAGAGUCCGGAAGAGGAGAGUGGAAUUCCUGGUGUAGCGGUGAAAUGCGCAGAUAUCAGGAAGAACACCCGUGGCGAAGGCGGCUCUCUGGGACGUGACUGACGCUGAGACGCGAAAGCGUGGGGAGCAAACAGG
rnacentral:rRNA from 1 species